rnacentral:rRNA from 1 species
UACGGAGGAUCCGAGCGUUAUCCGGAUUUAUUGGGUUUAAAGGGUGCGUAGGCGGUUUGAUAAGUUAGAGGUGAAAUGUCGGGGCUCAACCCCGAAACUGCCUCUAAUACUGUUGGACUAGAGAAUAGUUGCGGUAGGCGGAAUGUAUGGUGUAGCGGUGAAAUGCGUAGAUAUUAGGAAGAACACCAGUGGCGAAGGCGGCUUUCUGGA